rnacentral:misc_RNA from 1 species
GAAGAGGGACUGGCAUCUGUAGUGGAGUCGAUCACGUCGGAGGCUUAUUGCCUGUGUGGGCGGCUUUAACUGUCUGAAGUGUCCCCCCCUCCCCACCCCAAGAAAGCCUGUAUCCCAGGGAUGUCGCGGAGACCGAGCGGCUCGUUUGGCCGCAGCGUCAGCGGCUCCAGCCAGCUCACCAGCACAAGCGGGAGCGGCGGCGGCGACGCCGGCAGCUCGACGGCGGCGCCACAGGCGGUGUUCUGCGUGAACCCCAUUUUCUUUGAGAACUGCGGUGCGCUCUUGAAUGCGCCGAGCGGGCUGACGACGGCAUCCGUGCUGAAGGUGCUGCAGAGCACUGGCAGCAAGACGUCGAUUUCUCUCGCCAAGUGGAAGGAGACGGCCAUGACGGUGCUCGGGCUGCGCGAGUCGACUGCGUACGCCAUCUUUGACGUCUUCUUCGCCUUAAGCGGGGGCUGCAUCCAAAAUACACCGGCCUAUUUGGGCGGAGAGCGGACGAGUGUGGCUCAGCUGCGGCAGGAGAGCAACCGUGCCCUGCUGCAGAGGAUGGGCGGCGCCGUUGAUCAAGGUCGCUGGCCAGCCGCCUCCACCGCGCGACAGGUGAGCCUGCCGGGGCUUCUUAUCUUUUUGCUCUGUCAGCUCUUUGUAGAGCGCAAGCGGGCGGGCGCGCCUAACAAGUUCACAUCAGAGGCAGUGGCCGAGUACGUGCGGCAGCAUCUGCACGACUUCAUCAGCGCCGUCGCAGUUACACGUGCGUCUCGUCUGACCAUGGCUGACGCGGCGGAGCUUGGCUAUCUGCUCCGUGAGGUCGUGAACGGUGUUGAGCAGCCGUUCGGACCCAGCAUCAGCUUUCUCUGGCAGUUUAACGAGAAGACGAUCGACGUCGCGGUUCUCUCCCAGUACCUGCGAGUGCGCAUCCGCUCCAACGGCGAAAUAAAGAAGGUUGGCAGCGGCACCGCGACGGUAGCGAACGCCUUUGGCUUCAACAACAUCACCAUCCAGAACCUAGCCGACACGGUGCACAUCACGCCGUACGCCCUUCUGCCAGAUAUGGCGUCCCGUCUGCUGUCAUCUAACUUGACCAUCUCGAACUGCUCGCAGACGCACAUCUAUGCCCCGUCGGUGCUCCCUCACACCCUGCUUAGCUCCCUCACGAACUGCACUGUCUCACUGGGCCCGGUGAGCGGCGUGCUGAGUGUGCAGAACUGCCAUCACUGCUCCAUCUCUGCCCUUUGCGGGGCGGUCAUUGUGAGCAACUGCACCAACGUGACGCUAUACGUGUGUGUGAACACACCGCCAGUUCUCAUUCCGAAUGAGGGCUUGAACGGCGAUGUGAGGGCAUCGGGAACGAGCAGCAACAGGGUAAACGGUGCAACAUCCGUGUCCUCCGGGGGAGGGGUGCGUUUUGCUCCGUACAAUUCUUUCUACCCCGCCAUGGAGCAGCACAUCAGCAGCUCCGGCAUCAGUCCGCUACUGAAUGUAUGGAACGUGGGGCUGCCUAAUCACGAAUCGAUUCUGCCGCCUUCGGAAUUCCAAAGCGUGCCUUUCCCCUUGACGCAGUCCGCCAACCUCAGCAACGUUACCCGUACAAACCCAUGCCCACUACCGGCGCCGUAUCGUGACGCGAUGAACCGCCGCCUACAGCGACUGCGUGAUGUGAACGAUGCGAUUGCUAGUGCCACCGGGCGGCUGAGGGAGGUGGGGCGCAGCGACCUUGUGGAUGAGCUGCACCAACGUGUCACAUCCAUGUUUCGCGACUGGUUGAAGGAGACGGGGCAAGAGCACGUCUUGGCGGACUUGACACACACAACUGCGCCUAGCAAAACGGUGGGCUGAGGGGCAUAGAAUGAGGAGAGAGAAAAUAGAGAUGUGUGGCUGGGUGUGUGGGCCAUCGUGGGGCCUCUCCGAAGCUGGAUUCGCUGUUGAGUAAAGUGGAGAAAACGGUGCAGGAGAGAGAGACAAAAAGUAUGGGCGGGUUUUGGCAUCGAAGUUCGAAGGGGAGGGGAGAGAGGGCCACAGGGCGAUGAAAAGGGGGCCAGAUACUAUGAGUGUUGACGUAUUGGCUGUUGCAGGGAACGGGGUGCGCGCGUAUGUUAUGGCUCGCCCACUUCGACAACUCUCUCCCCUACAUCUUUUUUCGAAG